CGCAUCCGCCAACGAGGAGGCCGGGACCACCGGAUCCGGUGACUCCGGCCUCCUCGCCGGCAGAUCCGG
rnacentral:pre_miRNA from 1 species